ACGGCUCAGUAACACGUGGAUAACCUGCCCUUGGGUCCGGCAUAACUCCGGGAAACUGGAGAUAAUUCCGGAUAACGCACAUAUGCUGGAAUGCUUUAUGCGUAAAAUGGAUUCGUCUGCCCAAGGAUGGGUCUGCGGCCUAUCAGGUAGUAGUGGGUGUAAUGUACCUACUAGCCUACGACGGGCACGGGUUGUGAGAGCAAGAGCCCGGAGAUGGAUUCUGAGACAUGAAUCCAGGCCCUACGGGGCGCAGCAGGCGCGAAAACUUUACAAUGCGGGAAACCGUGAUAAGGGGACACCGAGUGCCAGCAUCAUAUGCUGGCUGUCCAGGUGUGUAAAAUACACCUGUUAGCAAGGGCCGGGCAAGACCGGUGCCAGCCGCCGCGGUAACACCGGCGGCCCGAGUGGUGAUCGUGAUUAUUGGGUCUAAAGGGUCCGUAGCCGGUUUGGUCAGUCCUCCGGGAAAUCUGAUAGCUCAACUAUUAGGCUUUCGGAGGAUACUGCCAGACUUGGAACCGGGAGAGGUAAGAGGUACUACAGGGGUAGGAGUGAAAUCUUGUAAUCCCUGUGGGACCACCUGUGGCGAAGGCGUCUUACCAGAACGGGCUCGACGGUGAGGGACGAAAGCUGGGGGCACGAACCGGAUUAGAUACCCGGGUAGUCCCAGCCGUAAACGAUGCUCGCUAGGUGUCAGGCAUGGCGCGACCGUGUCUGGUGCCGCAGGGAAGCCGUGAAGCGAGCCACCUGGGAAGUACGGCCGCAAGGCUGAAACUUAAAGGAAUUGGCGGGGGAGCAC
rnacentral:rRNA from 1 species